GCGACAGAGAACGCGAGAAGAACGCUCUGUGAUUGCAAGACAGAAGCCAAAGCCCCUUUGUUGACACGGCAUCAAUUGUGACAUUUUAGACAUUCACUUACUAUAUCGAACCAUUCUAUGGGCAUCAUCACAUGAGAUUCCAAGAGAGAAGCGAGCACCGAUACGAAGUUACCUUCCUCUUGCUGCUCUUAUCGGUCCCAUGCGGAGAGUCUUCAAUUGACGACGCCUUCAUGGACUUCUCAAGUAUCAACUUCAAGUAUCUUCUGAAGGGGACGCCUCUCGACGUGCGGCUUGUACACUUCACGGAGCGUCGUCCACCAGGAAGACAGGGCAAGCUUCGUCUGUAUGGCGCUCUUGGCCGACGAAGACGUCUCUUUCCAAUGGCUUGUCAACCAAGAGGAGGUGGCUUCUGGAGACUGGUACGAAGUUAUUGAAGACGCUAACCGGAAUGUCAUCCUCAUCAAAUCGAGAAAUUACAAGAUGCGCUACAGCGCACUCCGCAUCCUGGUCGCUUCUCUUGGGUCGCACACUGUCAGCUGCCGUGUGACCACGAGGAAGGAGACCCGAAGUGUCUACCGGCUGAGCAGCGCCUUCGAAGUUCAGAGCCACACAAAGCCCGACGGGAUAACAAAUGCCACCUUUCCCGGUCAUUCAAACAUGGGCUCACUGUGUGGUCACUCUGCGCGCUACGUUGGCCAGGACGUCAAUGGCGUGUUUGGCCUCGAAGACCUACCAAGAUGCGAAUGUGCUACCAACGCCAACCUUCAUGAUGU